UUAAGGGGAUGGCACUCCCAUAGACACUGCGAUAGCAGUCAGCUUUCAGAGGUUCUAAAAGUUGGGAGAGGUCCGUGGAGGUACUGCAUGGGGUCCGCGGUCAAAUCUCAAAAUAUGUUUUACAUUUCAUUUUUUUAAAUGAAUAAUACUAACAACAGAUUAAACUACUUUUGGCCAAGGGAUCCAUGGAAUAAGAUUAAAGUGUGUAAUAGAGACACAGUGAAGGUGUCAUAAUUCCCAUAAAAUCUAGCGGUCAAACAGGAAAAUGGUUUCAAUCGUUUUUCCACCAUUCAUUUUUUCCCAUAGGGGAUUUUAGAAACACUUAAAAUAAGGACAGUGUUUUGUGUAGGUUUACCCUGGCGUGACGUUUUGAUAACUGCGCAAAUCUCUCCUGGACAAGGUAACUUAUCAAUAUAUUUGCCUGUAAUUACCCGCAAAAAUGAAAUGCUAAUGUGGCUAUCAAACGGAAAGUACUACACAUCCAUCCUGUCGCAAGCUUUGACAAGCUAACCUCUCCUUCGAUCAGAAGCAAGAAUGGUUCUGUGCUAUGUACCGGAUUGUAACCACAACUCCGAUAAGUACACAUGCAUUUUAUUGUUUACCAACCAAUGUAAGCGAGAGGCUUUGCUGGAGCUGUGGGAGAAGGUGGGCGGACCAGGUCUGCAGCUGCCAUUUUCCGGUGGGAAAGAGAAAUGGCCAUGUUUUUACUAGGAAAGGAAGCUCAUCCACCAUUGCAGAAGAGGAAAUGCCAGACUGUUGAAUGAGAAACAAGAACAAACAAUGAGGCAUGAGGAUUGGGUGUUGAGGGACCUCUUGCCACAUUGUCCAAGCUGUGUUUGUGUUAUGAUAAACAAUGUGUUUUCUGUCCAGAUAAAGAUGAUACAGCAUUGAAAAAGACCUACCACUGACCAAAUGUGUCUUUGUUUUCCAGUCCAACAGGAGUGCAUCCUUCAGACCAUCCAGUACAUGGACAUCCUGUACCAGUCUGAUCUGAGCGCGAGCUUUCAGUUGUAGAGACUACAGCACAUUGACCCUGUGGACGGACAGGCCAAUAACUCAUCAAAUAUGAUACAAUACUGUGUAAAAUAUUGAAUUUGUAGAUGCAUCUAGGGCUGUGGCCAUCACAGUAAUUUACUGUUAAUUAACAUAAACACAUUAAAGCAUUUCCUGGCUUCUACACAAGCCACAGAUGCA